rnacentral:sRNA from 1 species
CCCAGGGUUGAAACCCUGGGCUAUUACAUUAUUCGCCCUUACAGGGCU